GAGCUGUGAAAACCUCCCUUCAGAGAUGGAACGAUACAGAGAAAAUUAGCAUGGCUCUUGCGCAAAACUGACACGCAAAUUCGUGAAGCAUUCCAUAUUUUU